UCUUUAUUUUCUAGGAGGAGCUCGCUGUUACCUGAAGGGAUGGACUGGUAGGUGGAAUGUCCGGUGCCGUGAGUUACCUGCUCAGCCCUGGAGCAGGGGUCAAAGCUGGGCGGAGCUGGACAGCCAGUCUCAGCCUCAGGUACUCCAGUGACAAGCAGCAGCAUCAGUGCUGAUGAGGGUAGCAGGGAAAACUGGUGAAAUGUGCCGAGGUCUCUCCAGAGGUGGUAGCCGGUUGCGCCAGCUUCACAUCCUGGAUAGGCAGGAACGUUUCCCUAUCAUACUCCUGUCCCGGGUCUCAUGUGUCUCAGUUCAAACAGACACUGCCGUCUAUCUUCAAGCUGCAAUGAAGCUGAGAGCCACAGAAAACACCUGUACCAUGGUUUCAGGGAGGAGUCUCUUCCCUCAGCCGAAAACAGACAGCUUUGCUGGUCAUCUGUUCUCCACUGCGAGGACGCUGCCACUCAGUGUGGAGAGAGGAAGGGGUUCUGCCUAUGGUGCAAGAAGGUCGGACUCGGCAGUUAAUACUCUUGGAUAAUGUAUUUAAGGAUGCUUAAGAAAUUGCAACAGCCAGUUCAACCUUCAGCAACCACCAAACUGAUCAGUAGUCAUCAACAUUGAGACAAGACUGUACACCAGCAAAAAGAUCCCAACUCAUUGAAGGCUCAAAUGAUUUUAGCAUUUUUUUUAGCAAUAAAGCAUUUUUAAAUUAAACUAUA